UACGUAGGGUGCAAGCGUUGUCCGGAAUUAUUGGGCGUAAAGAGCUCGUAGGCGGUUUGUCGCGUCUGCUGUGAAAACCCGCGGCUCAACCGCGGGCCUGCAUUCGAUACGGGCAGGCUAGAGUUCGGUAGGGGAGACUGGAAUUCCUGGUGUAGCGGUGAAAUGCGCAGAUAUCAGGAGGAACACCGAUGGCGAAGGCAGGUCUCUGGGCCGAUACUGACGCUGAGGAGCGAAAGCGUGGGGAGCGAACAGG
rnacentral:rRNA from 1 species